GUGAAGGAAGCUUGCUUUUCGGAUCAGUGGCGAACGGGUGAGUAACACGUGAGUAACCUGCCCUUGACUCUGGGAUAACUGCUAGAAAUGGUAGCUAAUACCGGAUACGACCCUCGGCCGCAUGGUCAGGGGGUGGAAAGAAUUUUGGUCAAGGAUGGACUCGCGGCCUAUCAGGUAGUUGGUGAGGUAAUGGCUCACCAAGCCUACGACGGGUAGCCGGCCUGAGAGGGUGACCGGCCACACUGGGACUGAGACACGGCCCAGACUCCUACGGGAGGCAGCAGUGGGGAAUAUUGCACAAUGGGCGAAAGCCUGAUGCAGCAACGCCGCGUGAGGGACGACGGCCUUCGGGUUGUAAACCUCUUUUAGUAGGGAAGAAGCGAAAGUGACGGUACCUGCAGAAAAAGCACCGGCUAACUACGUGCCAGCAGCCGCGGUAAUACGUAGGGUGCAAGCGUUGUCCGGAAUUAUUGGGCGUAAAGAGCUCGUAGGCGGUUUGUCGCGUCUGCUGUGAAAUCCGGAGGCUCAACCUCCGGCCUGCAGUGGGUACGGGCAGACUAGAGUGCGGUAGGGGAGAUUGGAAUUCCUGGUGUAGCGGUGGAAUGCGCAGAUAUCAGGAGGAACACC
rnacentral:rRNA from 1 species